rnacentral:rRNA from 1 species
AAUCAACGCUGGCGGCGUGCCUCAGACAUGCAAGUCGAACGUGAAAGGCUUCUUCGGAAGCCGAGUAAAGUGGCGCACGGGUGAGUAACACGUGAGUAAUCUGCCUUCACGGUGGGGGAUACCAAUCGGAAACGGUUGUUAAUACCGCAUAAUGCAGCGGCAUCAUAAGAUGACAGUUGUUAAAGCGGGGGAGCGAAGCAAUUCGUCCUCGCGCCGGAAGAGGAGCNCGCGGCAGAUUGGGUAGUUGGUGAGGUAACGGCUCACC